rnacentral:lncRNA from 1 species
ACUGCUUCAACCUGAUUGCAUAAAUAUAAUACAAUUAAAUAGAUCAAAUGACAAAUUAAAUUAUAAUAUUAACCAAUCCUACAACUUGUCCAAAAACAAUAAAAUUAAGUUUCUUAUCCAAAAUCAUAAAUCCAUGAAUCUUACAAAAGUACAAAUAAACCACUAAUUAGUAUGUUGAUUUUACAAAACCGUCCAUAACCACAAAAGUGCCUAAGGUCUGUGAAUACUCGCAAACAUACGAGUUUGAGUUAUAGCCCAUGCAUGCAAACCCUUUAAUUUAACUUAGAUCUUUUCAAUGUCCUGCAAAAUGAAAGAGAAGAGUUUCGAGUUAAAAAUUAUAGGAAAUGCGUUUAAAAGGAAAGAUAACUAAUAUCGAACAAAGUUACCAUUGUAUAUAUAAAAAAAAUUAAGGACCGUAAAUAGCAAAAAUGAAUAAUCAAGUGGAUUCAACGAAGAGCAAGGGCUCAAGCAAGAAUAUAGAUCCUGCAGUUUGAUCUUAGCAGCAAAAAGUCAAGAGAUUCAUUGAUUUCCUUCUCAUGCGGCGAGGGAAGAAUAUAUACUUCUUAGCAGCAUAAAGUCGAAAGAUUCAAUAAAACACUUCCAGUUCAUGACAAUAUAGGAGGAGCUAGUCAUAUAAAGACAACGCCUUUCAAGAAGCAGGACAAGUAAGAAAAGCAAACUUGAUUAUGUAUGUCCAACACUAAGAAAAGUUAAGCUCAAAUGUUUAAAGCUUGCAUGACACCAAAAGCAUUUUGAGUUUUGACCUUCAUGUUUAAACAGAACAGCUGGAUUCAUCUCAAAGAAAAAAAAUUUAAGAGCAACUGCAAAAAAAAAAGAGUUAUAAAUAUCCUAUCUGAUGGUGGUGGGAGUAAGAAUGUUUACUUUCAUCAACAAUACCAUCACAACAAUCAUGUGUUACCAUUAAAACUGUUCUCAUUAUAAUACCCAGCCUACAUAAGGGAAGAGCAACAACCUGCCUUUAGCAUUAUAAUACCCAGCCAUCACAUUCACUACUUUGAAAUCUACAUAUACACAAAUUUCAUAUAAAUCAAACUUUAUAUUCCCCACUAGAAAAAUACCAAAUCCCUUCAUUUCAGUCUUUACUCAAUACGCUACAGUCUAGGCUUAUAGCUUUAUAAUUAUACGGAUAUGUAAGCCAGCCCAUUACACAAAGCUGAACUGUAUCAUCAAUUGUUUAUUUUUUAUCUUUUUAAAAUUUCAUGAAGCUAUUAUGGUGCAUUACAGCUUUGAAUUCAUAUCUUUGGCAUUACCUUGAGUUGGUAUCAAAGAUACGUUUAAGCUAUUAGAAACUUUAACGUAGGAGUUAGACAAAUGUCUAGGUAGCUCAAUCAAGAGGUUGAUUUUGGUUUGUGUGGUAGGAAUGAGUGUUGACCCAUUUGAAUCAAGCUUGAAGAAAACCAGUUGAACUUGUUUAGUUCGACCCUGGCGACUUCUAUGCAUGUUCAAAGGAGAUUUUGCAUACCUAAAACUUGGCUGCAGAUUUCACCUCAAGUUAGUGGCAUGCUCAAUUAAGCUUUUCACCAUCUAGUUGAUUAUGUUGAACGAUGAUAAUCUCAGUCUUUAGUUAGUUAUGGUGCUGCAUUCCUUGCUUAUCAAUCGAAAUUAAGUAGUACAAAGCAAUUAUAAUGGACUGAGGUUAUCAUAAUUCACCAUAAAUCUCAAAAUUCAAUUCCUAUUAUUGAGCCAUAUUUUUUACAGAGGCAGUAAUAAGAAGUGAAUGCAUUUAGUAGCAAUUAUAAUUUUUUUACACUAAAAUUUAAAAUACUGACCUCUGUAACAAUCCAAUGGAUUUUCACUGAAUCAAGCUUCAUAAUGACUUCUUUAAGUGUAUUAUCUCUUCUGCAUGUAACCAUUCCACUCAACAAUGGUGAUGACUGAUGUUGCUCUUCAAGAUAGCUUCUAACUGCUGUGAGCAGUGGCGGAUCUAUGCGGAGGGCAGAAUAGAUAGUGCCUAUGCUGAACUUUUUUUAUUUUUAGGUAUAGGGACAAGGACAAAAAUAAAACUUAAUAAACGUAAGGGGACAGAUUUAUGAAAAAGUUCAACUUAGACGGGAAAAAAAACUUAAACUACUACUCUAAAAAAACUAAACACACGGUAUAUAAUGUAUUCAAACUCUUGCUCUCUAACUCGCUAAGCUUCAACCCUUCACUUCAAUCUUCAGCCCAAAAAAAUCCGCUCAUGCUGGGAACAUAUACUGGAUCCGCCCCUGGCUGUGAGGAAGUUCUUGGUUGUGAUAGAUCUGCAAUAACAUAGAAAAACGACAUAAGCUUCUGUAAAUUUGGGAUUUUACACAAAUUACUUCCAUAAAUCUAAAGGGUAUAGCAUGUGUUAAUUAGAUGUAUGUAACAAUGCUAAAUAUUUUACUAACCACGCAUAAAAAGGUUUCUAGGAUUAUAUGAUGGGCAAAUACUAGAAAGGUUUAUUAACGAAUCUGAGAUUCUUAUAGAUAACAGGUGCAAGUAGAAGGAAAUGAAAAUAUCUCUGAUGCUUAUAAUACCAACUGCCUUUGUUCCACCACUUUCGACCACUGGUACCCCACAACACCUUUCUACCUCAUAAGUUUAAAUGCCCCUUACACACCUUAGAAACAAAAGGGAAUGAUAAAAAACAAAUUAGUUUACAGGAAAUUAAUGUGAAAGCAAGCCUUAAUGAGAAAAAAAUGGUAGCCAUUCAAGAAAUGCCCCAAUUAUAGUUUUCCAGGAUUAUGAGCAAUGUGACCGACUAUUAUAUUUGCAAUAAUAGUACUUUGUUGACAAAAGAAUCUUACAAAAAAUUGUUUACAAAAUGAUGUGGCUGGUUGUGGUUGAUUACUAUCACUAGACCCACCCAUUUAUGGUGGAUCAUCCACUAAUUACACUCUGCCACAUCAUUUUGUAAACUAGUUUUUGUAAGUUUUUUUUUGUCACCGUAGCAACACUCUAUUUGUAAUACCAGACCCCCAUCAAAUUACAUAAUCAUAUUUGUAUACCAAGAGAAGAAGAUUAAUUUAGUACAAUGAUAUGUUAUGCCUUGUUUCAUUGCACCCACGUUUAAAUCAAGUUCAGCCCAAAAGUUCUUUGGAACCACCUACUUGAAGUAAUCAACACAAUUUUCUUUCCAACAUCUAGUUCUGGGUCCAUUAUAUCAUAAUCAAUCAUCUCUCCAUUAAUAAUGAGACAAUGGAAGAAAUCUUGGAAGGUAAAAAAAAGAAGAAAACUAUAAACCAAAUCAAAAGGUAUACUACUUGACCUCCCCACCCCAUUUUUUUAAAUACUAAUAUAGUAAAAUGCAAUUGUUAGUUCAAGAUUAGUUCAUAUAAACUACAAAAAACAAACCAAACAACAUUCCAAUUCGAAAAUAUUUGUUACCAGAUAACCUUCACAAGCAAAUUAGUACAUAACACUACUGACUACUCCAGGUCAAUAUCAUCGGAAUUGCUCUUCUCACUAUCAUUAUCAUCAACUGUUAUAAAUUCAGUUCCAUUGCUCAACCAGAUUGCAUGAUAAUAUUUAUUAGUAAUUUACUUGCAUGCAGACUUUAGAUGUUUUACAUACAUAAAAAUAAUUGCCACUAAAAUAACUCAGGCAGAUAUUGCAUGCUCCAUUUUUUCACUAGACUUUAAAAAACUGGAAAUAAAAAACAAAGACGUCAAUUGUGCAGUUAAGAACAUCAUAAUCAGUAGCUUCGACUGACUCUUUUAUGGACUUAUUACAGCUAAAGCCAUAGCAGUUCAGUCACAUAGAUUGUUGCUGCAGAUACAAACUACUAUUUGCUAGGAUACAUGUUAAUGGAAGAACUGAAGGAAACAAAACGAUCUCGAUGCUUCAAGGUACAUAAUAAACUAAUUCCCAAUUUUGAAAGACAUUUGCAGAACAAAUCCCAGAUGAUGAAACAAAUGCAAUGAUAAAUCACCUCCUAAAGACAUGGAUUGGUUAACCCUUGACUAUUUCUUGACCUACUUAAAUUUAGCAUUUGCAUGCAAAUGCUAAAAUUAAGUAUCAAAAUUCCCUCUUUCAAAUCAGUGAUGAAACCCUUGACUGGUACUAUCCAUUGAGAGGAAGAAAAACAAAUUAGUAUGGUGAUAUAUAGUCCCUCAAGGCACUUACGGAGUAAAUAAACACGAGAAAAUUCAUCAGUCCCACCACUGUCCCGCUCUCAAAUUUCCGUUUAAUGAGAGACAAAUCAAAUAAUUAAGAAACAUAUAUUAUAUGCAUAUACAAAAGAAGAGGUUUCUAAGUUUCCCACCUUUUAUCUUGUUUAAUUGCUAGAAAAAUUAAUACCAUCCAAAUGAGAUUCAUAUACCUAUCACAUCAGAGAGUUUUCUAUUUGUUUGGUUGGUUUUAAUAGUAUCAUUCAACUUUUUUAAGAUUACAGUUAAUGGCUACCAACUUCAUCCAGAUAACUUUCCAACAAAGUAUUGCUGCUCUUGAAUUAGAACCCGAAUUUGUCUGAUAUACUACAUUCCUUUCCUUUUCAUCUGUAUACUCAGGAACUGGGACGUACAAUGUGGACAUUUCGUACAUAAAUUUGUCUGGAUCUUAAAUAAUAAAUCGUCAUAACUCUUCAAAAAAACAAAUCAGCAUAGUGCACAUAACUUACAAACCUUAAAUUGUAAAAUCAUGGGCCUAAAUAAAGAAUUUAUGCUGAAGUUUGAAACUGUAAUUUCUAUCAGUACUAGCACUAAAAGAGUGUUUAGACAACUCAUUGAUGAUUCAUUGAUAUGUUACAACAUGGAACCUCGAGGAGUUCUUUGCAUUCCAUGGACAUGAUAGUAUAUAAAAAAAGCUCCAAAUCAUAAUUUGUUUCAAACAUUUGACAGUAGCAGGACAAUAUUAUUCAUCAUGUCAUCAUGCAUGAGAUCAAUUUCCAAACAUGCAAGUUCCACUAUGUACAUUUUCUAUUGAGAUUUAGGAGAAAUCAAUGGGUUUUCCACAAAAUUCCUUUCGGUAGCUAAUUUUCUUCUUAAUAAAAAUCCUAAUUCAAUUGUCUAUAGUUACCUUGUCCAUUCAUACUUUACCAAUCAGUCUUACCAAAGCUUGUCUCCAUUGAGUUAUAGAUCCCUCAUCUAUGUUCCCAACACCAAUGUUUUAUUGCUCAGAUUAAGUUAUAAAUACUAAGAAUAACUUACAUCUAAAGUCAGAAAAAGUGAAUUACGUUGCCAUCCAUAUGGUUGCAUCAAAGAUAUAGACAAUAAAACUGCUGGCAAAUUAAAAGAAAUUUAAACUCACAGAUGGAAAUGUCGUUGCAAUUUCAAAACAGAGCCUUGCAAGAUAAAGCAAACUUUUCUUUAUGUUCAAACUUCUCAUUAAUCUAAUGUCCUUUUUUCCAAUAAGAAAACUUUUUUUCUCUUUUUCGCCACUAAGAAUACCAAAUUGUAUCAAAUUGAUAUAAAGUAUUCAUUCAUUAAAAAGGUAAUCAUGAAAAUAAGGGACUAAUUAGAAACCACCAAAUUGUUUCAUAAAUGUUACAACUUUGAAUCCAUCACUUCCUUGAGAAAUUCUAGUUUUUUUCUCUUCUUCUUCUUCCUGAUAUGUAAAGUUAGUGCAAUUCUACUCUUUCCAAUAGCCUAAGUUAAUUCAUCAAAAUUAUCUGAUAAAAAAUAACCAAGUGUCUCCAUUGAGUUAGUUAUAGACCUCUAAUAUAUGCCUUUCGUGUAAUACACAAACAACUAGUGACAGUUAGACGCCUCUGCCUUUUACAUUCAGUGAAGGAUGCACUACUAACUCUGGUUUUACUGUAAAGUACCAGGACACAGCUGAAAAAACCCUAGAAUUAUCUACUCAUGCUGAUCAACGCAAGUCAAAAUCGAAGUAAAAUUAACUAAUAAACCAUCACAUAUAGAAAGAAAUUAGAAAAUGGCCAUAGCAAGGAAGAACAAAACCUUCUCUGAGUGUCCUGUUUUCUCAAACUUGAAGGCGAUGAGUACCGAAUCUCUUCUCCAACUCAAUCUGAAUCUGCUAAUUUCUAACUAAAUCGUUUGGGGGCUAGGACUAGAAACAACGAAUCUCAAUCUGCUAAUUUCCAACUCAAUUGUUUGGGGUCUACAACUAGAUGUCGAUAUUUGGGAGGCGACUGAGCCAGAUAGCAAAAAGAGGAGAGAAGCGACUGAGGAGAGGUUGAGGUCAGGCGACCGUACGGGUGAGGGAGGCCCAAAUAUUUUAUUGGGCAAAGCAGAUAGUGCGGGAGUGAAAAGUUU